rnacentral:sRNA from 1 species
UGCUGACCGGGUGCCUGCACUAAGUUCGGCACCAAUAUGGUGACCUCCUGGGAGCGGGGGGGCCACCAAGUUGCCUAAGGAUGGCUGAACUGGCCCAGGUCAGAAACGGAGCAGGUCAGAACUCCCAAACCGACCGAUAGUGAGACUGUGCCUGGGCA